rnacentral:rRNA from 1 species
AUUGAACGCUGGCGGAAUGCUUUACACAUGCAAGUCGAACGGCAGCACGGACUUCGGUCUGGUGGCGAGUGGCGAACGGGUGAGUAAUGUAUCGGAACGUGCCCAGUCGUGGGGGAUAACGUAGUGAAAAUUACGCUAAUACCGCAUACGAUCUAUGGAUGAAAGCGGGGGAUCGCAAGACCUCGCGCGAUUGGAGCGGCCGAUAUCAGAUUAGGUAGUUGGUGGGGUAAAGGCCCACCAAGCCAACGAUCUGUAGCUGGUCUGAGAGGACGACCAGCCACACUGGAACUGGGACACGGUCCAGCCUCCGACGGGAGGCAGCAGUGGGGAAUUUUGGACAAUGGGCGAAAGCCUGAUCCAGCCAUUCCGCGUGCAGGAUGAAGGCCCUCGGGUUGUAAACUGCUUUUGUACAGAACGAAAAGGUUUCUACUAAUACUAGGAGCUCAUGACGGUACUGUAAGAAUAAGCACCGGCUAACUACGUGCCAGCCGCCGCAGUAA